UACGAGGGGCUGAGCGUUGUUCGGAAUACUGGGCGUAAAGAGUGUGUAGGCGGCGCUCUAAGUUCGGUGUGAAAUCUCUCGGCUUAACUGGGAGGGUGCGCCGGAAACUGGAGUGCUCGAACGUGGGAGAGGAAAGCGGAAUUCCUGGUGUAGCGGUGAAAUGCGUAGAUAUCAGGAGGAACACCUGCGGUGUAGACGGCUUUCUGGACCAUUGUUGACGCUGAGACACGAAAGCGUGGGUAGCAAACAGG
rnacentral:rRNA from 1 species